UCCCCGUUGACCCCGGCAGUCUCCUACGAGUCCCCGGCAUAACCCGCUGGCAACAUAGGACAAGGGUUGCGCUCGUUGCGGGACUUAACCCAACAUCUCACGACACGAGCUGACGACAGCCAUGCACCACCUGUGCAGGACCCUUACGGACCCGAUAUCUCUACCGGAUUUCCCUGCAUGUCAAACCCUGGUAAGGUUCUUCGCGUUGCAUCGAAUUAGGCAACAUGCUCCGCCGCUUGUGCGGGUCCCCGUCAAUUCCCUUGAGUUUUAACCUUGCGGCCGUACUCCCCAGGCGGCGGGCUUAACGCGUUAGCUGCGACACCGAGGGGCAAGCCCCCCGACAUCUAGCCCGCAUCGUUUACGGCGUGGACUAC
rnacentral:misc_RNA from 1 species